rnacentral:rRNA from 1 species
UACGUAGGUGACAAGCGUUGUCCGGAUUUACUGGGCGUAAAGAGCGCGCAGGCGGUCGAUCAAGUCGAGUGUGAAAGCCCCCGGUUCAACUGGGGAGGGUCAUUCGAUACUGAUCGACUCGAAGGCAGGAGAGGGUAGUGGAAUUCCCGGUGUAGAGGUGAAAUUCGUAGAUAUCGGGAGGAACACCGGUGGCGAAGGCGGCGACCUGGGUAGAUACUGACGCUGAGGUGCGAAAGCGUGGGGAGCAAACAGG